rnacentral:tRNA from 1 species
GGAUUGUGGCUCAGUGGUAGAGUGCUCGCCUAGUACGGGUGGGACCCGGGUUCGAUUCUCAGCACCA